UCCCGGCAGAGGACGAACGCUGGCGGCGUGCUUAACACUUGCAAGUCGAACGGGGAUAUGCGAGCGGAAGGCUUCGGCCGGAAGGUUGCAUAUUCGAGUGGCGGACGGGUGAGUAACGCGUGAACAAUCUGUCCCAGACAGGGGGAUAACACUUGGAAACAGGUGCUAAUACCGCAUAAGACCACGGAGUCGCAUGGCACUGGGGUAAAAGGAGCAAUCCGGUUUGGGGUGAGUUCGCGUCCGAUUAGCCAGUUGGUGAGGUAACGGCCCACCAAAGCGACGAUCGGUAGCCGACCUGAGAGGGUGAUCGGCCACAUUGGAACUGAGAGACGGUCCAAACUCCUACGGGAGGCAGCAGUGGGGUAUAUUGGGCAAUGGGCGAAAGCCUGACCCAAGGC
rnacentral:rRNA from 1 species